rnacentral:rRNA from 1 species
UACAGAGGGGGCAAGCGUUGUUCGGAAUUACUGGGCGUAAAGGGCGCGUAGGCGGCCUUCUAAGUCGAACGUGAAAUCCCCGGGCUCAACCUGGGAACUGCAUUCGAGACUGCAUGGCUAGAGUAUGGGAGAGGGAAGUGGAAUUUCAGGUGUAGCGGUGAAAUGCGUAGAUAUCUGAAGGAACAUCAGUGGCGAAAGCGACUUCCUGGACCAAUACUGACGCUCAUGUGCGAAAGCGUGGGGAGCAAACAGG